rnacentral:rRNA from 1 species
CUACGAAAGGUGCAAGCGUUGUUCGGAUUUACUGGGCGUAAAGAGAGUGUAGGUGGUUUAUUAAGUCGGAUGUGAAAUCCCGGGGCUCAACCUCGGAACUGCAUUCGAUACUGAUAGGAUAGAGUUUGGGAGGGGUAAGCGGAAUUCAGUGUGUAGCAGUGAAAUGCGUAGAUAUAUGGAGGAACACCUGAGGCGAAGGCGGCUUACUGGACCAAUACUGACACUUAGACUCGAAAGCGUGGGUAGCAAACAGGAUUAGAAACCCUUGUAGUCC